rnacentral:rRNA from 1 species
UGAACCUGCGGAAGGAUCAUUACCGAGUACUAUAACUCAUAACCCUU